UACGGAGGAUGCAAGCGUUAUCCGGAAUAAUUGGGCGUAAAGCGUCCGUAGGUGGCUGUUCAAGUCUGCCGUUAAAGACCGGGGCUUAACCCUGGAAAGGCGGUGGAAACUGAACGGCUAGAGUGCAGUAGGGGUAGAGGGAAUUCCCAGUGUAGCGGUGAAAUGCGUAGAGAUUGGGAAGAACACCGGUGGCGAAAGCGCUCUGCUGGACUGCAACUGACACUGAGGGACGAAAGCUAGGGGAGCGAACAGG
rnacentral:rRNA from 1 species